rnacentral:lncRNA from 1 species
UUAGGGGAUUGAUGGGGAAGGCCGACACAGGAAGCGACCUCUGGGUGCGCGGAUGUCGUGAGGUUAGGUUCACCAUGCAUGGUUAAAGAACUCGAAUCGAUUCGUCUGCCUCUCACAGUUUGAGACUGCUUGAUCACUAUGUCACCCUGAGUAAAUGAGGAAUCUGAUGAUGACAUGGUUUUGGUUAUAUAUACAUACCUUGGUUGGUUUUAUGAUUGCUUAGAAUAGGUUGCAAAACCUAGACCGGUUAAUGAACUUGGAAUCGGAGCUAAAACUUGAAAAUAGGGUUUUAUUUAGUGCUUUUGGCAAACAAAAUCUUCAGCCAAAAAGCCUUGCAUGUCUAGAAGUGUGGAGUAGCUUUACUCCUG